UACGUAGGGUGCGAGCGUUGUCCGGAAUUAUUGGGCGUAAAGCGCGUGUAGGCGGCUUUGCAAGUCAGAUGUGAAAGCCCUCGGCUUAACCGAGGAAGUGCGUCUGAAACUGCAGAGCUUGAGUGUCGGAGAGGAUGGCGGAAUUCCGCAAGUAGAGGUGAAAUUCGUAGAUAUGCGGAGGAACACCGGUGGCGAAGGCGGCCAUCUGGACGACGACUGACGCUGAGACGCGAAAGCGUGGGGAGCAAACAGG
rnacentral:rRNA from 1 species